UCCGGCGAACAUACUGACGGGGUCCCACCCGUUCCCAUUCCGAACACGGCCGUUAAGCCCGUCAGGCCCAUGAUAGUGCCUUUGGCGCGAAAGUCGGUGAUCGCCGGAA
rfam:Singulisphaera acidiphila DSM 18658, complete genome.